rnacentral:rRNA from 1 species
AGUGGACGCUGGCGGUAGGCCUAACACAUGCAAGUCGAACGGCAGCACAGUAAGAGCUUGCUCUUACGGGUGGCGAGUGGCGGACGGGUGAGGAAUACAUCGGAAUCUACUUUUUCGUGGGGGAUAACGUAGGGAAACUUACGCUAAUACCGCAUACGACCUACGGGUGAAAGCAGGGGAUCUUCGGACCUUGCGCGAUUGAAUGAGCCGAUGUCGGAUUAGCUAGUUGGCGGGGUAAAGGCCCACCAAGGCGACGAUCCGUAGCUGGUCUGAGAGGAUGAUCAGCCACACUGGAACUGAGACACGGUCCAGACUCCUACGGGAGGCAGCAGUGGGGAAUAUUGGACAAUGGGCGCAAGCCUGAUCCAGCCAUACCGCGUGGGUGAAGAAGGCCUUCGGGUUGUAAAGCCCUUUUGUUGGGAAAGAAAAGCAGCAGGUUAAUACCCCGCUGUUCUGACGGUACCCAAAGAAUAAGCACCGGCUAACUUCGU